rnacentral:rRNA from 1 species
GUGGGGAAUAUUGGUCAAUGGUCGGAAGACUGAACCAGCCAAGUAGCGUGCAGGAUGACGGCCCUAUGGGUUGUAAACUGCUUUUGUACGGGAAUAACGGUCUUUACGUGUAGAGAUGUGCAUGUACCGUACGAAUAAGGAUCGGCUAACUCCGUGCCAGCAGCCGCGGUAAUACGGAGGAUCCGAGCGUUAUCCGGAUUUAUUGGGUUUAAAGGGAGCGUAGGCGGAAGAUCAAGUCAGCUGUGAAAUGUAGACGCUCAACGUCUGCACUGCAGUUGAAACUGGUUUUCUUGAGUGCGUAAGGGGCAGGCGGAAUUCGUCGUGUAGCGGUGAAAUGCUUAGAUAUGACGAAGAACUCCGAUCGCGAAGGCAGCUUGCCGGGCCGCAACUGACGCUGAAGCUCGAAGGUGCGGGUAUCGAACAGG